rfam:Capsicum annuum cultivar Zunla-1 chromosome 8, whole genome shotgun sequence
UAUUGGUGGUGUGGGCAAUCCUUAAGAAUCGACUUGAAUUUCUCCCAUGCAUGAUAGAGAUUCUCGUUUGGCUUUUGUUUAAACUUUGGAUCUCACUCCUCAACCU